GACAAUUGAAGCACAUAGGAGAUCUCUUGGGGAACAUGGUCCAGCUCAACAUCUGCAAAGGCCACCUCUAUUAGAAGUUCAAAACUUUGACACAGUUAAUCAGUCAUCAGCUUCCAAUAAGGUUAGUCAAGCAACUUUCCUUGGGAGAGAUGACCCAAAACUAACUGCCUUGUUGCAACAAGCUGAAUUGCUGACUACCCUUUCCAAGAAGGUUAAUG